AUUUAAGAGAGGGACAGGCACACGGAAGGGCAGCAAGGCGGAGAGCCGGGGCUGGAUAGAUAGAUAGCGUGUGUGGUGGGGCGUGGGAGCUGCCCGCACGGGGUGGGGGGGAGGAGGGCUUGGGGGUAAAGGUAAAAGGCAGACACAACAGAGCCGAAACCCCCCCACAGCCCCUUCCCUCCACUGACCCCUCAAACGUCAGCGGUCGGUGUCCAGCUGAGCGGAGAAUCGGGGCUCAUUCACCCCGCCUCCCCUGAGUGUGGGCACCCCCCCCACGCCCAUAUUUACCCCCACCAGCCGCCCAUCCAGGGGGUUUCUGGUGACAGCACACAGCUCCCCCACCCCGCCGGGGUUGACCCCCUAACUGCCCCCUCCACCAUGCCCAUCUUACUUUUCCUCAUAGACACGUCCGCCUCCAUGAGCCAGCGCACCCAUCUGGGCACCACCUACUUGGACAUAGCCAAAGGCGCGGUUGAGACCUUCAUGAAGCUGCGGGCCCGCGACCCUGGCAGCCGCGGGGACAGGUACAUGUUGGUGUCGUUCGAUGAGCCGCCCUACGGUAUUAAGGCUGGCUGGAAGGAAAACCAUGCAACGUUCAUGAACGAAUUGAAAAAUCUUCAAGCUGUAGGAUUGUCAACCCUUGGCCAGUCUUUAAGGACAUCCUUUGAUUUAUUAAAUUUAAAUAGAUUAGUUACUGGAAUAGACAACUAUGGGCAGGGAAGGAAUCCUUUCUUUCUUGAGCCAUCAAUCAUCAUCACAAUCACUGAUGGGAAUAAAUUAACAAACAAUGGUGGCGUACAGGAGGAGCUCCACCUACCAUUAAAUUCCCCCUUGCCAGGGAGUGAAUUAACUAAAGAGCCAUUUCGUUGGGAUCAGCGAUUGUUUGCCCUAGUCUUGCGUCUUCCUGGAUUGAUGCCCCUUGAAACAGAGCAAUUGGGCAGUGUGCCAUCUGAUGAAUCUGCCAUCACACCCAUGUGUGAAGUUACAGGAGGUCGUUCAUACUGUGUGUGCACGCAACGAAUGCUGCUUCAGUGUCUGGAGUCACUUGUGCAAAAAGUACAAAGUGGAGUGGUGCUGAACUUUGAAAAAACUGGUCCAGAUCCAGCACCUGUGGGCGAUGAUGGUGUUACUGAUGGUCCUAAAUCCGCCCCUCCGUUUGGACCACAACCUUGGCAUAAUUGUCACAAACUAAUUUAUGUACGUCCCAACCACAAAACUGGUGUUCCAGUUGGACAUUGGCCCAUCCCUGAAUCCUUCUGGCCAGACCAAAACUCUCCAACCCUACCACCUCGUAGUGCCCAUCCAGUGGUGAAAUUUUCUUGUGCUGAUUGUGACCCAAUGGUUAUUGAUAAACUGCCUUUUGAUAAAUAUGAGUUGGAACCUUCACCUUUAACCCAAUAUAUUCUGGAGCGCAAAUCUCCUCUCACCUGCUGGCAGGUGUAUGUGAACAACAGUGGGAAGUAUAGUGACCUUGGUCAUCCUUUUGGUUACCUGAAAGCUAGUACAGCUUUGAAUUGUGUUAAUCUUUUUGUGAUGCCUUACAACUAUCCUGUACUGCUUCCACUUUUAGAGAAAUGCAAUCAGCACGAACUGGGCCUGACCAAUAAGCCUCUCUCUCGACUUCCUCUGACAGUCAGAAAACAUGGUUCAUUGGUCGACACCAAGGCCCGCCAUUGCUGUUGCAUUGUUUCAUGGAUGAUUUGUUUAAAGUGCAUAAGCUGAAGCCAGUUAUGAAAUGGCGACAGGCGUUUGAAAAUUACUUGAAGACAAUGCCUCCUUAUUAUAUCGGGGGUCAAGAACUUCAAAUUCCUGGGCGUGCAUACUUCCGAAGAUCUCUCCUGGUCCCAGAACACUGAUGCAAUCAUAAAGAAAGCACAUCAGCACCUCUGCUUCUUGAGAAGAUUACGGAGAGUUGGUAUGUCAAGGAGGACUCUCUCGAAUUUCUACAGGUGCACAGUAGAGAGCAUGCUGACCAGUUGCAUCGUGGCUUGGUAUGGCAACCUGAGCGUCCAGGAGCAGAAAAGGCUGCAAAAAGUCGUAACCACUGCCUAGUCCAUCAUCGGUUCUGACCUCUCUACCAUUGAGGGGAUCUAUCGCAGUCGCUGCCUCAAAAAGGCUGCCAGCAUCAUCAAGGAACCACACCAUCCUGGCCACACGCUCAUCUCUCCGCUGCCUUCGGGUAGAAGGUACAGGAGCCUGAAAUCUGCAACAUCUAGAUUCAGGAACAGCUUCUUCCCCACAGCCAUCGGACUGAAAAUGAAUUAAACACAACUUCAAACAAACUAUGAACAACCUAUUGCACUUUAUCUGUUUACUGAUGUGUGUAUAUAUAUAUUCUAUGGUACAUGGACACAUCUGAUCUGAUCUGUAUUUAUGACUACAAUAUCCUGUUGUGCUGCAGCAAUGUAAGAAUUUCAUUGUCCUUUCUGGGACACGUGACAAUAAACUCUCUUGUCUUGUCUAACGGUUUGUGAUAUCUUUAGUUCUGACACUUUAUCAUUAGGUUAAAAUUUAAGUUGUAAAGCAUGGUCUACUGUAUAAUUGUUAAAUGAUUAGUUGAGUUUUUUUUAAAAAGGAGCCAAACCAUACAAUUCAUCUCUAACCCACUGCUGUUGUGAAGAAAUAUAAUGGAUAAUAUUUUUGAGUUAUUGGUGCAACAUUUAGGGCGGCAUGGCGGCGCAGCGGUAGAGUUGCUGCCUUGUAGCACCAGUAGACCCAGGUUUGAUCCUGACUACGGGUGCUAUAUGUACGGAGUUUGUAUGUUAUCCCUAUGACCACGUGGGUUUUCACCGAGAUCUUAGGUUUCCUCCCACACUCCAAAGACAUACAUGUUUGUAGGUUAAUUGGCUUGGUAUAAUUGUAAAUUGUCCCUCGUGUGUGUGUAAGGUAGCAUUAGAGUGCAGGGAUCGCUGGUCGGUUCGGACUUGGUGGACUGAAGGGCCUGUUUCCGCGCUGCAUUGUUGAAUCAAACUAAACAUUUGCGUACAUUUUCCAGUUUUGAAGAUAUCCAUCAGGCUGCUUGUUCAAAUUUAAGAAUCUCACUCAAGUUUUCAAAUAAAACUUCCAUGAACAGUGAGAAAAUUAUAGAAAUUAAAUGUACUUUAGAUUCCAGAUCAAGUUGCCUCUGUGUGUUAGAAUAUGCGAUCUCUGCCCAUCUGCCAAAUUGUGUUGGGCUUUAGCAUUAUUUGGUUUGAGUUUUGUUUUACUGCUGAUUUGUCAACAGUGUUCAAGCUAUUUUCAUAUUGUAGCAUAUUUCUAGUUUAUCAAGUAUUUUUAAGUAAUAAAACUUUAUUUGCUUGGUCUGUUACCAUUGAAUAGGGUUGUGUUACAAUCAGUCAGGUAUCGUAUUGCGUGUUGCCUUCUGAAAACAAGGAUGACCUGGCACUUCGGAGGUUUUGGACAGGGGUAUUAAAAGUACUGAUCAUAUUUCUUUGAAUAAUAAAGGAUCAUAUGCUUCAUGAAAUGCAUCUUUUUCUAUGUGCUGAUUAGAACAAUCUAGUUAAAUGUCAUGUGUGAAUUGUGCAUUGCAAUUUAUGUAACAUUGCUCACAAUUAACGACAAUAAUUUUGCAUUUAGCCUUUUAGUAAUUUUCCACAAAACUGGUUGCAGUAAAGUGCAAUUUAUGCCUUGCAUAAGUGGCAUUGCUAAAUUAGCAUCUAAUAUUUUUAAUGUUGAAGACAAAAUAAUUUCGACGCCUGGGAAACAUGGAAUACCAAAAAAUGCUGCUACUUCUCAGUUCGUUUUGUAUGUAAAUCAAAAAUAA